rnacentral:rRNA from 1 species
AAAUUGAAGAGUUUGAUCAUGGCUCAGAUUGAACGCUGGCGGCAGGCCUAACACAUGCAAGUCGAGCGGAAACGAGUUAUCAGAACCUUCGGGGGACGAUAACGGCGUCGAGCGGCGGACGGGUGAGUAAUGCCUAGGAAAUUGCCCUGAUGUGGGGGAUAACCAUUGGAAACGAUGGCUAAUACCGCAUGAUGCCUACGGGCCAAAGAGGGGGACCUUCGGGCCUCUCGCGUCAGGAUAUGCCUAGGUGGGAUUAGCUAGUUGGUGAGGUAAGGGCUCACCAAGGCGACGAUCCCUAGCUGGUCUGAGAGGAUGAUCAGCCACACUGGAACUGAGACACGGUCCAGACUCCUACGGGAGGCAGCAGUGGGGAAUAUUGCACAAUGGGCGCAAGCCUGAUGCAGCCAUGCCGCGUGUGUGAAGAAGGCCUUCGGGUUGUAAAGCACUUUCAGUCGUGAGGAAGGUGGUAGUGUUAAUAGCACUAUCAUUUGACGUUAGCGACAGAAGAAGCACCGGCUAACUCCGUGCCAGCAGCCGCGGUAAUACGGAGGGUGCGAGCGUUAAUCGGAAUUACUGGGCGUAAAGCGCAUGCAGGUGGUUUGUUAAGUCAGAUGUGAAAGCCCGGGGCUCAACCUCGGAAUUGCAUUUGAAACUGGCAGACUAGAGUACUGUAGAGGGGGGUAGAAUUUCAGGUGUAGCGGUGAAAUGCGUAGAGAUCUGAAGGAAUACCGGUGGCGAAGGCGGCCCCCCUGGACAGAUACUGACACUCAGAUGCGAAAGCGUGGGGAGCAAACAGGAUUAGAUACCCUGGUAGUCCACGCCGUAAACGAUGUCUACUUGGAGGUUGUGGCCUUGAGCCGUGGCUUUCGGAGCUAACGCGUUAAGUAGACCGCCUGGGGAGUACGGUCGCAAGAUUAAAACUCAAAUGAAUUGACGGGGGCCCGCACAAGCGGUGGAGCAUGUGGUUUAAUUCGAUGCAACGCGAAGAACCUUACCUACUCUUGACAUCCAGAGAACUUUCCAGAGAUGGAUUGGUGCCUUCGGGAACUCUGAGACAGGUGCUGCAUGGCUGUCGUCAGCUCGUGUUGUGAAAUGUUGGGUUAAGUCCCGCAACGAGCGCAACCCUUAUCCUUGUUUGCCAGCGAGUAAUGUCGGGAACUCCAGGGAGACUGCCGGUGAUAAACCGGAGGAAGGUGGGGGACGACGUCAAGUCAUCAUGGCCCUUACGAGUAGGGCUACACACGUGCUACAAUGGCGCAUACAGAGGGCGGCCAACUUGCGAAAGUGAGCGAAUCCCAAAAAGUGCGUCGUAGUCCGGAUUGGAGUCUGCAACUCGACUCCAUGAAGUCGGAAUCGCUAGUAAUCGUGGAUCAGAAUGCCACGGUGAAUACGUUCCCGGGCCUUGUACACACCGCCCGUCACACCAUGGGAGUGGGCUGCAAAAGAAGUAGGUAGUUUAACCUUCGGGGGGACGCUUACCACUUUGUGGUUCAUGACUGGGGUGAAGUCGUAACAAGGUAGCGCUAGGGGAACCUGGCGCUGGAUCACCUCCUUA